CAGAACUCAGGCAUCAAACGCAACAUCACUAUACAGGAUGAGUCCACAACAUUAUUUGGCUUGCAGUCAGGGGUUGGAUGAAGGAGCCCAAGCCAAAGGUCACUGAGAACACUGAUCCCAAUGUGGAGAAGGCUGCCAAGGUUGGAGCCAAGAAGACUAAGGACAAGGAAGCCGAAGCUGAGAAGAAAAUGUCUACAGCCAAAAAGCAGAAGGAGA
rnacentral:lncRNA from 1 species